rnacentral:rRNA from 1 species
CGUCACACCAUGGGAGUCAGUAACGCCCGAAGUCAGUGACCUAACCUAGUAGGAGGGAGCUGCCGAAGGUGGGACCGAUAACUGGGUGAAGUCGUAACAAGGUACC